UAUGGAAGGUGCAGUGAUCCAUGGAAUUUGCAAACUGCUGACAAUGAGACAGGCGAGUGUUACUGAGGCGACGGAGUCAUUCCUGCAUGUUAUUAUGACACGGUUACACAAGGCAUCAGGUACUGCAAAUCUGCUACGCCAGGAAGUGUGCCAGCUGAAGGCAUGCAAGGGUGCUGAUAUUUCGCAAGCAUGGCAACAAAUGCUGUCCGUCAUCGCAACAGCUAUUCCCGAAGUGAAAAUCAAUUGUGAAGAUUUGGAAGUUACAUCUGCAGUGCUAGCGAAUCUGAUAAGCUACCUGCAUGCCACGGCUGCCGCUGCUAUCAGGAAAGCGUCAAUAGCACCAUCCAAAGCUGCUGAAGCCAUCCCCGAACCGGUGAUUGACAAUUUGUCUCACCUUGCUGAAAAGUACCAUGGUGGUUGGUGCUUGGUGGCCGUGCGGCGUGAGCUGGAAGGAGCAAGGUGUCGCAACGACAACUUGCUGCAGCUUAUACCUUUAUUUGGCAAGGAUGCCGUGACAAGCCGUCAGCCUUGUUUGGAGAAUUCAGGUGGCCCGGCGUGGCUCGGAAGCUCUGUAUAAGACACCAUACGUCACAGAUAAAAACAACUGAACCAGUGA